rnacentral:siRNA from 1 species
UUCUAAAGCCUCAAAUUUGGA